rnacentral:rRNA from 1 species
GCUUAACCGAAGAAGUGCAUCGGAAACUGGGUGACUUGAGUGCAGAAGAGGACAGUGGAACUCCAUGUGUAGCGGUGGAAUGCGUAGAUAUAUGGAAGAACACCAGUGGCGAAGGCGGCUGUCUGGUCUGCAACUGACGCUGAGGCUCGAAAGCAUGGGUAGCGAACAGGAUUAGAUACCCUGGUAGUCCAUGCCGUAAACGAUGAGUGCUAGGUGUUGGAGGGUUUCCGCCCUUCAGUGCCGGAGCUAACGCAUUAAGCACUCCGCCUGGGGAGUACGACCGCAAGGUUGAAACUCAAAGGAAUUGACGGGGGCCCGCACAAGCGGUGGAGCAUGUGGUUUAAUUCGAAGCUACGCGAAGAACCUUACCAGGUCUUGACAUCUUGCGCUAACCUAAGAGAUUAGGCGUUCCCUUCGGGGACGCAAUGACAGGUGGUGCAUGGUCGUCGUCAGCUCGUGUCGUGAGAUGUGGGGUUAAGUCCCGCAACGAGCGCAACCCUUGUUACUAGUUGCCAGCAUUCAGUUGGGCACUCUAGUGAGACUGCCGGUGACAAACCGGAGGAAGGUGGGGACGACGUCAGAUCAUCAUGCCCCUUAUGACCUGCGCUACACACGUGCUACAAUGGUCGGUACAACG